UGCCCUGGAGUAUGGCGUAAAAAGACUCAAAACAUUACAAAAAUGAGUGAAGCAACCACGUAUAAAAGCGUA
rnacentral:ncRNA from 1 species